rnacentral:rRNA from 1 species
UACGGAGGGAGCUAGCGUUGUUCGGAAUUACUGGGCGUAAAGCGCACGUAGGCGGCUUACUAAGUCAGGGGUGAAAUCCUGGAGCUCAACUCCAGAACUGCCUUUGAUACUGGUAAGCUCGAGUCCGGGAGAGGUGAGUGGAACUGCGAGUGUAGAGGUGAAAUUCGUAGAUAUCGGAAGGAACAUCAGUGGCGAAAGCGACUUCCUGGACCAAUACUGACGCUCAUGUGCGAAAGCGUGGGGAGCAAACAGG